rnacentral:rRNA from 1 species
AACGAAGCGCUUAAAUGGAUUUCUUCGGAUUGAAGUUUUUGUGACUGAGUGGCGGACGGGUGAGUAACGCGUGGGUAACCUGCCUCAUACAGGGGGAUAACAGUUAGAAAUGACUGCUAAUACCGCAUAAGCGCACGGUGCUGCAUGGCACAGUGUGAAAAACUCCGGUGGUAUGAGAUGGACCCGCGUCUGAUUAGCUAGUUGGUGGGGUAACGGCCUACCAAGGCGACGAUCAGUAGCCGGCCUGAGAGGGUGAACGGCCACAUUGGGACUGAGACACGGCCCAAACUCCUACGGGAGGCAGCAGUGGGGAAUAUUGCACAAUGGGGGAAACCCUGAUGCAGCGACGCCGCGUGAGCGAAGAAGUAUUUCGGUAUGUAAAGCUCUAUCAGCAGGGAAGAAAAUGACGGUACCUGACUAAGAAGCACCGGCUAAAUACGUGCCAGCAGCCGCGGUAAUACGUAUGGUGCAAGCGUUAUCCGGAUUUACUGGGUGUAAAGGGAGCGUAGACGGUUGUGUAAGUCUGAUGUGAAAGCCCGGGGCUCAACCCCAGGACUGCAUUGGAAACUAUGUAACUAGAGUGUCGGAGAGGUAAGCGGAAUUCCUAGUGUAGCGGUGAAAUGCGUAGAUAUUAGGAGGAACACCAGUGGCGA